ensembl:lncRNA
CUCUUCUCUGGAGCCGCCAUGAGCCCAACAAGAGAGGAUGCCAGCAUCCUUGAUCAGAUAAGUCUUAUAAAAUAUAUAGAUUAAUAAUUAUGGUUGAUACUUAAGACAGAGAUAGAAGAUAAGAAAUCCUAGUCAUUGGCCAGCAGCAUUGUACCUACUAUAAGUCUCUGUGUGUUAUUUUCGCUGCCCACAUGUGGCGUGGCUCAGGCAGCUUGGUGUAAAAACUUUUCAUUACAAAAUGGUGUCAGAAGAUUUAUUGUCACAGCUGUUGUUUUGUUUUGUUUUCCCCCUUGAAGUUUUGUUGUUUUUGCACUUAAAAAUUUAUAUUAUUUAUUGUGUGUGUGUGCCUGUCCAUAUGUGUGAAGGUCAGAUGACAACUUUUGGGGGUCGAUUCUUUCCUCCUAUGUGGGUCUUGGGGAUUGAACUCCAGUUGUCAGCCUUGGCAGCAAGCACCUUGACCCUGUGAGCUGUUUUCCAUCCUCUCUCCUCAGAUUUUAAAUAUUUUGUUCAGUAGCUUGGGAUAUUUAUUACCAGAGCAAAUUUGUUGUUUAUUGCUACUUGAGACAGUGCUGUAGCCUAGCCUCAAACUCCCAGUUCUGCUUCCUCUACCUACUGAGGGGCAGGGUUACAAACACUGGCUACCACAUCCAGUGUAAUGCAGAGGCCAGAGAUGGAAGCCAGGCCUUUAUACAUCCUAAGUAAGUAAGUGUUUAACCAACUGAGCAGCACACCUAUUCCCUAUCCCUAGGUUUUUAGAUGAGAUGGCACACAAAGAGGUUAAGUAAACCAUGUUAAGUUGCACAGCUGGGAAGUGCCUGAGGCAUUUUGAAACUAAGUUAUUUGCUGUGAAGAGCCCAUUGGAUGACUCACCUUAUUUGUGGCUCUUAAAUCUGUUGACAUUAUCCAUUUUCCAAAUUUCUUUUUAAUAACAAAUAUAGGAGAAUUCCAAGGAUUGGUUGAUUCUUCAAUAUUUUUUUUAAAGAUUUUUAUUUAUUAUGUAUACAACAUUCUGCUUCCAUGUAUAUCUGCACACCAGAAGAGGGCACCAGAUCUCAUAAUGGAUGGUUGUGAGCCACCAUGUGGUUGCUGGGAAUUGAACUCAGGACUCUCUGGAAGAGCAGCCAGUGUUCUUAACCUCUGAGCCAUCUCUCCAGCCCCAAUUCUUCAAUAUUUUAAGCAUUUAGCUCCUCUUGUACCAGCUUUCUAAGGCCUGUAAUUUUUCUGAUGUCAAAGGCCAUUGUUCUACUCACACUGGUUUGUCAAUUAACCAUUUCGAAAGUAGGGCUGUUGGUACUUUUGAAGAAUCAGCUGUUAUGCCUUAGUUGUGUGUAACCUGAACAGUCAGUGAUUGUUCUUGAUAAUACCUUUUUAUUUUCCUUUUUCUUUCUGUUUUUUUUUGAGACAGGGUUUCUCUGUAUUGCUUUGCAGGCUGUCCUAGAACUCACUCUGUAGACCAGGCUGGCUUGAACUCACAGAGAUUCGCCUGUCUCUGCCUCUCAAGUGCUGGGAUUAAAGGCAUGCACCACCAAUGCCCUGGUUUGAUAAUACCUUUUAAUAUUUUUCUCAGAAGCAUACAUUAGAUUAUGGUUUGUUUCUGAGAUUGGAGGAUUGUUAAUCUGUGUUUUCCAUUGCUGCAACAAAUCAUGUCCCUAUAAAUUCAUUGCUAUGUUAGCCACAUGUGGUUAUAAUUUUCCUGUCUGUCCUUCUGGCCCUAUGCACUCCACCCAUCUUGCACUCUGUUUUUACCUGGGAUAAAAUUCCAAUCUCUACAAGCUGAACAUUUACUGCCUGAAGAGGCCAAUCUGGAUGGAUGCCAAGAUUGUGGUGCAGGAUCCCAGUUAACUUCUACAUAGCCUUGGAGUGUCUCCCAAACAGUAUGUUUCUUCUGGUCUGCCAAAACAAAAAGAAGCUGCACCGCUGAAAUCCCUCCCUUCUCCUUCCGGUGCAUCUCUCUGUCUCUCCCAGAUGUCCUCUGAUGCUUUAUAACUUCCUGUCAAUUAGUCAAACUCAGCUUUCAGACUCAAGGUUAACUUUAUUUAAUUAAUGAAAAUGCUAACUAGGGGUUCACAGUGUGAUCGAAUAUCCCUUAGUAGCUGGUUAUAGCGCAUAGUGGGCUGGCUUAUGUCCUCUUGACUAGAUGUGCCUAAGAACCCCCAAUGUGAGCAGAUUUGGAAAGUAAGCCUGCAGGUGUCAUACAGAUACAGAUAGCCUCUGAGAGGAUGCCAUCUGGGUUAGUGUAAGUCCUAAGAGAUGCACAAGAGAGAGGAGUCACAGGAAGACAAGCCAAGGAACACUGGGAAGAGCCAAAAGC